CUCCUUCCAAGAGCUCACCAUGGCCAGGACUCUGCUUUUCCUCACACUUCUCAGUUACUGUUCAGGUGUCAGUUCACAGCCAACAUUGACUCAGCCGGCCACUCUGUCUGUGUCCCCGGGACAAACAGCUACAAUAUCCUGCACCAUCAGCAGUAACCCAUAUACCACAGGCUGGUAUCAACAGAAACCUGGCCAGGGUCCUCGCUGUGUACAUUGUGAUGGUUGCAGCAGCAGAGGACCAGGAAUCCCAGCUCGAUUCACUGCUUCCCGUGCUGGGAACACGGCCUCUUUAACCAUCACCGGCACUCAGGCUGAAGAUGAAGCUAAUUAUUACUGUGCAAUGUAUUACAGCAGCUCGUUCCACAGUGAUAAAUUCUAAUGGGGAACUGAGACAAAAACCUUCACCCUUCCUCCCUAA